rnacentral:rRNA from 1 species
GACGAACGCUGGCGGCGUGCUUAACACAUGCAAGUCGAACGGAAAGGCCCUGCUUGCAGGGUACUCGAGUGGCGAACGGGUGAGUAACACGUGGGUGAUCUGCCCUGCACUUCGGGAUAAGCUUGGGAAACUGGGUCUAAUACCGGAUAGGAGCCAUCUUUAGUGUGGUGGUUGGAAAGUUUUUUCGGUGUAGGAUGAGCUCGCGGCCUAUCAGCUUGUUGGUGGGGUAAUGGCCUACCAAGGCGGCGACGGGUAGCCGGCCUGAGAGGGUGUACGGCCACAUUGGGACUGAGAUACGGCCCAGAGUCCUACGGGAGGCAGCAGUGGGGAAUAUUGCACAAUGGGCGCAAGCCUGAUGCAGCGACGCCGCGUGGGGGAUGAAGGCCUUCGGGUUGUAAACUCCUUUCGCUAGGGACGAAGCUUUUUUGUGACGGUACCUAGAUAAGAAGCACCGGCUAACUACGUG